rnacentral:misc_RNA from 1 species
GUAGGUGAACCUGCGGAAGGAUCAUUAACAAAUCAGUUUAUUGUGUGUGUGUGUGUGUGUGUGUGUUGUGUGAUGUGUUUAAUAGCACAUCAUCACAUCCCAUCACAUUACAUUGCAUCACAUCAAUAUAUUAACCCGAACCCGUGCAGCAAUGCCGGGCAAGGUGUGUGCUCUGGGGCCUUUGCGGGCCUUGGGGUGCGCGGUGAAGACUAUGGGGGUGUCGCAAGAUGCGCCUCGUCCGAUCCACAUAGACGCUUGUAUAUGUUUGACAGAGUUAGUUGACACUUUUAAAAAUGACAACUUUUAACAAUGGAUCUCUUGGCUCUU